rnacentral:miRNA from 1 species
UGUGUGUGUGUGUGUGUGUGUGUGUGUGUGUGUGUGAAAGCUUACAGCUUGCAAUCGUAAGCGCGCGCGCACACACACGCACACACACAAU